AUAGUCUGUCGUGCCGCCAGCUCAUCUUCGCUACCACCUGAAGAGAAGACGAUACGAUAUUUGCCACGAAUGCUAGAAUUCUAGAAAGGUCGUGGAAUCUUUUGGUGAAGGAAAAAUCGUGUUUUGGUCAGUUGCAGAUCUUUAAACGCACGCACGUUUGGAUGAUACUUCGUGUCAUAGGCGAGCCUGUCGAUGACGUUUUGCGAAAGAGACUCCUUCGCCGUCCGGACCUCUCGCCCCCUCGCCGACGUUUUCGUUCGUCUUCCGUUUUUCUUCGAGACCCCAUCGACCUUUCCACAGUCCACGACGCUCUUCGCCAGCAGGACUCUGCGAAGGUUUCAAGUUGUGAUGCACAUGCUUAUGUGUACAAUAUUGUCGCCAAGCAACGCGAGUGGACGGCCGCCGAUCAAUAUUCCCUCGGAUGACGGGUUUUUUAAACAUGAUGAUCUUUGAAGGAACAGGAAUGGGCGAUGAAUGACAAUAAAAGCGAGGCAAUCAUCGUGUAAAUUAAUAAAGCUAAUUUUAUUAGAACAUCAUCAUCGAAGUGUUAGUCAAAUAAAUAAAUUACAUCAACUUUAUGCUAGAUGCCUGAUCCAUACGUUUUCAAAUCGUCGAGCAGGAAGUUGUCACUGGUAAUUCCGGUUUCUAUACUACACAGUGUUCGAAUAUGUGUAUAUUCGUAGUAUAUUUAUAGAAAAUUUAUGGAUAUGCUGUAUUUCUUCAAGUUCGUUGAUCGUAUGUGUAUACAAUAAUCCUACUACUGGAAUUUUACGUAAUAAUAUUGUCUGAUCGAUAUUUUGUAUCAGCAGCGCA